rnacentral:rRNA from 1 species
CAGUCGCCGCGGUAAUACGAAGGGGGCUAGCGUUGUUCGGAAUUACUGGGCGUAAAGCGCACGUAGGCGGAUAUUUAAGUCGGGGGUGAGAUCCCAGAGCUCAACCCUGGAACUGCCUUUGAUACUGGGUAUCUUGAGUAUGGAAGAGGUGAGUGGAAUUCCGAGUGUAGAGGUGAAAUUCGUAGAUAUUCGGAGGAACACCAGUGGCGAAGGCGGCUCACUGGUCCAUUACUGACGCUGAGGUGCGAAAGCGUGGGGAGCAAACAGGAUUAGAUACCCCAGUAGUCCCUGUCUCUUAUAC